CUCAUUGUUUUUAGAUAGGUUUUUUUUUUGUGCAUUGGGUCAGAUAUCAAGCAUGCAGGCUUAUUUUACACUAUGUCAUGACAGAUCAAAAUAAGGUUGUUUUUUUUAUGAAAUAGAUUCAAUUCUUUAUUAUUGAGUGUGUGGUAUCAUUGGCAAGCUUUUGUAUUUUAUAUUUACAUACAAUCUUUUGUGGAUCAUAUUUUUUUUUUUUGCGUGUAUGUAUGGAACAAAAGCAGAAUUUUUAGUAAACCAAAUAUACAAAAAAAAUAAGACACCUGAACUAGAAACAAGGUUAUGUAUUAAUACAAAUAUAUAUAUAAAACUCUAUAGUGAAUAUAUCUAUAAAUACAUCUAUUUAUGGAAAAUGGCAAAAUGUUACCCACUGCAUAUGGUCAUUUAGAGAAUAAGAGCUCACAGUAAUUUUUUUUCACAAAUAGCGUACGAGUCUGUAAACGUGCAAGGCAUAUCAUUCCAUUCUCCAGUCGUGUGUAACAGGGCACAGUCUUCAUUUUUACCAUAAUCAUUAGGCUCUCCUUUCUUCCAGAAUCUGCAAAUUGAGGACAGACAAACAAUUAUCACACUACCGUAUUUAGAAGAAAAAGUGUGAAGAUAUACAGUAUUUCUUUAUAAUAGUAUAUUAGUAAACAAAACCGUUAGUCAUUUUAAUACUACUCAAAUGA